GACCCAGCUGCUCCUCUUCCAAUUCAGCUCUCUGCUAAGGCCUGGGAAAGCUGUGGAGGAUGGCCCAAGUCCUUGGGUCCCUGCACCCAAGUGGGAGACCCGGAAGAAGCUCCUGGCUCCUGGCUCCUGUCUUUGGAUCAGCACAGCUCUGUCCAUUGCAGCCAUCUGGGGAAUGGACCAGGAGAUGGAAGACCUCUCUCUCUCACUCUCACUCUCUGCCUCUCCUCUCUCUGUGUAACUCUGACUUUCAAAUCAAUAAAUAUUUUUUAAAAAGUCAGGGACUCCAUUUGGGUCUUCUAGGUGGUCAGCAGGGGUCCAAUCACUUAGGUCCAUUAUCUGGUGUCCUCCCAGGCAUGUCAGUAGGAAGCUGGGUAAGAAGCAGAUUGGCUGGUACUCAAAGUGGCACUCCAAUACGGGAUGCUGGCAUCCUAACCAUUGUCUUUUUUUCUUAUUGUUGUUAAGGUGGCAAAGGAUGAUGAAACAGUGUUCAGCAUUCUGCGGAUUAUAUGGUCUAAACACACCAUGGACAUCAGUGGGUGCAGCUUCCCUCAUCUCUACAGCCAUGUGUUCACAGUAAAAAAUAAGGGAUGAAAAGACCGUAUUGGACUCUCUGUCUCAUUGUGACUGGAUCAUCAUGGUACAUCAGGAGUGCUGCUUUUAUGCUAAUUGCUCCAGCAUCAUUAAGGACAAGAUAAAGACCCUCCAAGAAGACCUUGAAGCUCUAGUUACCUGUGGUCGGGGCUUGGGGGAUGGCUUCCUUAUCUCCUCCCCAUUGUGGGCCCCUUGGUCUCCAUUGUCCUUGUAAAUUUGUCCAAGAUUGCAUCACUGCAGUCCAGUUAAUGGUGGUCCGACAACAAUAUGCCACUCUUUAAGAACCGGGUUAUGCUGCUCUUCAAGCACCAGAUUGGAAACCCUAUACAUCUGCCCAUGGCCGCUGCCAAGAUGAAGAGGUAUAAUACAUCAGACUCUGAGUUGCUGAGGUGGUAGCCAAUGAUGGGUAAGAUCCCCUUGGGGCAGCCCUUAACAGCUGGAGUAGUAGUCAAAGAUAGGUAAGAUCCCCAGAGGGGGACAACCUAAGGUAGACAUGCUCCCUAAAAGGCUGCUACCAGUCAGAGUGGACAACCUAAGACAGGCACCCUAUCCGCUCAGUUCCUCUUCCUCUCUUUAAUAUAAAACAAAAAGGGGGAAAUCUUGGGCAUUGCUUAAAAUCUCCAUUACAAUAUGGCACCUGGCAGAUGUUCGAGGGGCGUGUCUGCAGCUGCUGAUCAGACCACCAGCAGGGAUAGGUCUGCUUUAGUUCUGGAUACGUGGACAGCGCGUGAUACCUAUACUUUGCUUAAGAUGCCCCUGUGCAUGGUCCACCCAUGCCUGCAUGACCUUUUUGCUGAUUGGUUCCCCUACUGCCCAUGUCUUUUGUAAGCUUUAUAAGCCUGCAUACUUCUUCAAUAAAGUGGUUCCUGCUUCCACAGAA